ensembl:snRNA U6 U6 spliceosomal RNA
GUACUUACUUUGGCAGCACCUAAUACUAAAAGUGGAACAAUACAGAGAAGAUUAGCAUGGCCCUUGCAGAAAAAGGAUAUGCAAAUUUGUGAAGCAUUCCAUAUAUUU